rnacentral:lncRNA from 9 species
CUGCCUUUUAUGACCUAGUCUCUGAAACACAGCAUCGCUUUUUCCUUAUUCUAGGCAUGAGGAGUAAGUCAUGAAGUCUGGCCCACACUCAACAGGAGAGAAUGUACAAAAUCAUGAACCUCAGGAGGCUGCACUCAUGGGGGGACCAUCUUGGAGGCUGGCGACCACAUCAACUACAUGCAGCAUCUGACAGGCCGUUAAUAGCGCAUGAAAGAGCUGUGUCCAAACUGUACUUUGAAGGAAUCAGAAAGUACUGCUUUUGAAUGAUUUCCUUCCCAUCGCAAGUCCCAAAUCCACUCCAGCAAGAGGCCUGGAUGCCGUGUGGCUUCCUUGAACGUUCAGCUGGUGUCUACGCCAACACAAGGAACAACCAAAUUAACCCAACCCUAGCCGCUUCAGGGCACUCACUGGAGGUGACAAUUUCACUUCAAAAGAGGCAAAGACUUACAGGAUUAAUUAACACCAGUGAUCACGUGAUAAGAUUGAGCCAGCAGACAGCAUUAAUGUAUCACAUGGGAUGAACAGACCAGCCCUUGAAGAGGGAAGAAAAAAACAAGCAUAUCCUUAAGCAGGAGACUUGAAGAGCCAAGAGUCAGGGAAUCUUCGAAAGAUUUCUAACAUCUGAAGAGAGUAGCUGGUGGCAAAAGCUGGAAUGAGAACACUGUGGGCUGGAGUAAUAAGAGGCUAAAAGUGAAAUUCUGAGCAUGGCAAUGGUAAAGUCUACGAAUGAGCUGGAGAAAAGGUGAGAGCCCCGGUUGAGUGGGGACAAAAGUCCAG